AAAUAAAAUACGACAGUGUUACCCCUUAUGUUUUUUUCAUGACGACCAUAAAAAACAACAGUGUUACCCCUUAUGGUUUUUUUCAUGACAACCAAAGAAAAAAACGACAGUGUCACCCCUCAUGUUUCAUUUGAUAAAAACGACAGUGUUACCCCUAUGUUUUAAUUGAUAAAUAUCAACAGUGUUACCCCUUAUUUUAUUUCCAUGACGACCAAUAAA
rnacentral:lncRNA from 1 species